rnacentral:tmRNA from 1 species
GCAGAAGAAAAUUUUGCAUUAGCUGCAUAAGCUACGUCCCUCAUACUUGUGCCUACCAAGUGUGAAUGGACGUCAAACCGUAGGCUGGCUUAAUUUAGUUGUUCAUAUGAAUUAGGCGAGACAAUAUGAACUGGGGUUGUGUAGCUUGUCUGUGAGCGGUAGCAACCUGAGAUCUAAAUCAUAGACUGUGCUCGGAGAAGUCUAUAUGGCAACACUUCUGGACAGGGGUUCGACUCCCCUCAUCUCCACCA